ACGGGCCGGAUAAAGUACGCAAAAGGGCCGGUUCCGGCCCACUGGCCGGCUUUUGCCCAUCCCUACUCUAGACCUUUCACGUACAUGGUCAAGGAUGACAGCAAAUUAGUUGCCGUUCCAAUCCAGAGAUGUCGCCUUCUGACAAUUUUCUUGUCAAUUUAACAAUUGACAAUUAAAUUAAUGGGUUAUUUUUGUAUUUACUUUACAACUUGUGGUUUAAUUAUUAUAGCGGUGUUAUGUUUUAAAUCAGAUUUAAUCACAAUUUUAAUCAAUUUUAUUAACCUUCUCUCCGUUUUUAUGGGUAAAAUUUUUAGUUUACACUAAGCGUUGGAUUAUCCCGUGCUGUGUUUCUCUACAUUAUAUUGUAAAAAAACAAUAUAAUGGAUCCUAAAACAGUUUAUUCCAAUAGACGAGUGUGUCAUCAACAUUUCGGGCCUAUAUAUUUUUCGGAAAAUUGUAAAAGAUUAUAAGGUGUUUAUCUAAAAAAUCUUCCUACAAAAUAUUCUUUCAAAAAUUUUCAUUCAACUAAAUAUUAAACGAAUGUUGAAGGGGUAAAUAUUAAACAUUAAUUUAUUACAAAAACAGUGCUUUCACAUGACACAUAGCAGUAGUGUUUAGCAUUUUGAAAACAAAUUGGAAUAUUUGAGAUUAUAAGUAAAACUAUGAUUUUUGUUUAUAUUGGUAUUUCAACCCCGAUUACAACGCUACCUACUACCACAACUUUAGACAGAACUUAAGAGUUUUAAUAUUUUUUAUGUAGAUGGAACUUUAAAGGUAAUUUUAAGUUAUAGUACAAUUAUUGAAUAAAACAUUGAAUUGUCUGCCUAUUGUUUUAAUUUCCCGCGAAAUUUCAUCAAAAAUCCCGCAAAACUUUAUAGUUUGAAAUUCCCGCGUAACUAUAAUUUGUCAAUUUAGUUGCCUUUCCAAUCAAGAGAUGGCGUUAAUUUGAUCCGAAAGAUUAACAUGGUCGUGGAAUGUCUAGCUAGAGUAUGUAUGGUUUGUGGUAUAAAUUGUGAGGACAAUUA
rnacentral:lncRNA from 1 species